GGAUCAAUAUGUUGGUCGUGCCUCGGUACGUACUAGCUUAUUGGUUUCUCCUUUCUGAAGAACCAUGAUGUCAUUCAUUUGGUGUCGUGGGGAAUCAGGACUGUUACUUUGAAAAAUUAGAGUGUUUAAAGCAGGCUCACGCUUGAAUACAUUAGCAUGGAAUAAUGAAGUAGAACGUUUGAUUCUAUUUUGUUGGUUUCUAGGAUCGACGUAUGAUUAAUAGGG
rnacentral:rRNA from 1 species